rnacentral:rRNA from 1 species
CCUACGGGGGGCUGCAGUGAGGAAUAUUGGUCAAUGGACGCAAGUCUGAACCAGCCAAGUAGCGUGCAGGAUGACGGCCCUCCGGGGUGUAAACUGCUUUUAGUUGGGAAUAAAAUGGGGCUCGUUAGCCCCGUCUUGUUUGUACCAUCAGCAAAAGGACCGGCUAAUUCCGUACCAGCAGCCGCGGUAAUACGGAGGAUGCGAGCGUUAUCCGGAUUUAUUGGGUUUGAGGGGUUCGUCGGCGGAUCGUUAAGUCAGUGGUCAAAUUGAGGGGCUCAACCCCUUCCCGCCAUUGAAACUGGCGCGCUGGAGUGGAAGAGAAGUAGGCGGAAUGCGUGGUGUAGCGGUGAAAUGCAUAGAUAUCACGCAGAACCCCGAUUGCGAAGGCAGCAUGCCGG